UACAGAGGUGGCAAGCGUUGUUCGGACUUACUGGGCGUAAAGGGCGCGUAGGCGGUUCGUUAAGUCCUGUGUGAAAUCCCCCGGCUCAACUGGGGAACUGCACAGGAAACUAGCGGGCUUGAGUUCGGGAGAGGGAAGCGGAAUUCCGGGUGUAGCGGUGAAAUGCGUAGAUAUCCGGAGGAACACCGGUGGCGAAGGCGGCUUCCUGGACCGACACUGACGCUGAGGCGCGAAAGCUAGGGGAGCAAACGGG
rnacentral:rRNA from 1 species